UACGUAGGGGGCUAGCGUUGUCCGGAAUCAUUGGGCGUAAAGAGCGUGUAGGCGGUCCGGUAAGUCCGCUGUGAAAGUCGGGGGCUCAACCCUCGAAUGCCGGUGGAUACUGUCGGGCUAGAGUGCGGAAGAGGCGAGUGGAAUUCCUGGUGUAGCGGUGAAAUGCGCAGAUAUCAGGAGGAACACCUAUUGCGAAGGCAGCAGGCUACGGGAAGAUUGACGCUGGAGGCACGAAAGCGUGGGGAUCAAACAGG
rnacentral:rRNA from 1 species